GAAAAGGCUCUUUUAAGAGCCACCCACAAUAUCAUUUUGAAAGCAG
rfam:Fukomys damarensis contig90623, whole genome shotgun sequence.